rnacentral:rRNA from 1 species
CCUACGGGAGGCAGCAGUGGGGAAUAUUGCACAAUGGGGGAAACCCUGAUGCAGCAACGCCGCGUGAAGGAAGACGGUUUUCGGAUUGUAAACUUCUAUCAAUAGGGAAGAAAGAAAUGACGGUUACUAAAUAAGAAGCCGAGGCUAACUACGUGGCAGCAGCCGCGGUACUACGUGGGGGGCACGCGUUAUCCGGAAUUACUGGGUGUAAAGGGAGAGUAGGCGGCAAGGUAAGCGAUAUGAGAAAGCCUUAUGCUUAACUUAAGGAGGGCAUAACGAACUAUCUAGCUAGAGUACAGGAGAGGAAAGCGGAAUUCCUAGUGUAGCGGUGAAAUGCGUAGAUAUUAGGAAGAACACCAGUGGCGAAGGCGGCUUUCUGGACUGAAACUGACGCUGAGGCUCGAAAGCGUGGGGAGCGAACAGGAUUAGAUACCCUUGUAGUC